AGAGUUUGAUCAUGGCUCAGGAUGAACGCUGGCGGCGUGCCUAACACAUGCAAGUCGAGCGAACCCUUCGGGGUGAGCGGCGGACGGGUGAGUAACGCGUGGGUAACCUGCCCUGUACACACGGAUAAUAUACCGAAAGGUAUGCUAAUACGAGAUAAUAUGUAAUGAUCGCAUGGUCGAUACAUCAAAGCUCCGGCGGUACAGGAUGGACCCGCGUCUGAUUAGCUAGUUGGUGAGGUAAUGGCUCACC
rnacentral:rRNA from 1 species